rnacentral:miRNA from 14 species
GCUUUCUUGGAUCUGCUCUUAAGAAUCAUCCUUUCCAGGCUGGAGAGAUGGCUCAGCCAUUAAAGGCUAGGCUCACAACCAAAAAUAUA